UACAGAGGUCUCAAGCGUUGUUCGGAUUCAUUGGGCGUAAAGGGUGUGUAGGUGGCGCGCUAAGUCGGGUGUGAAAUUUCGGAGCUUAACUCCGAAACUGCAUUCGAUACUGCGGUGCUUGAGGACUGGAGAGGAGACUGGAAUUCAUGGUGUAGCAGUGAAAUGCGUAGAGAUCAUGAGGAAGACCAGUGGCGAAGGCGGGUCUCUGGGCCGAUACUGACGCUGAGGAGCGAAAGCGUGGGGAGCGAACAGG
rnacentral:rRNA from 1 species